GACGAACGCUGGCGGCGUGCCUAAUACAUGCAAGUAGAACGCACAGUUUAUACCGUAGCUUGCUACACCAUAGACUGUGAGUUGCGAACGGGUGAGUAACGCGUAGGUAACCUGCCUGGUAGCGGGGGAUAACCAUUGGAAACGAUAGCUAAUACCGCAUAAUAUUAAUUAUUGCAUGAUAAUUAAUUGAAAGGUGCAAUUGCACCACUACCAGAUGGACCUGCGUUGUAUUAGCUAGUAGGUGAGGUAACGGCUCACCUAGGCGACGAUACAUAGCCGACCUGAGAGGGUGAUCGGCCACACUGGGACUGAGACACGGCCCAGACUCCUACGGGAGGCAGCAGUAGGGAAUCUUCGGCAAUGGACGAAAGUCUGACCGAGCAACGCCGCGUGAGUGAAGAAGGUUUUCGGAUCGUAAAGCUCUGUUGUAAGAGAAGAACGGGUGUGAGAGUGGAAAGUUCACACUGUGACGGUAUCUUACCAGAAAGGGACGGCUAACUACGUG
rnacentral:rRNA from 1 species